GACUUAUUUUUUAUUUUUUUUAUAAUUGAAUAAAGCAGCAUUCACACAUCUGGCAAUUAUUUGUUUUACCUGUUUUUUCUUUGCGGAUCUGGCAAUUUUAUGUGAAAGCGAAACGGCGGAAUUGCAUGUGAAAUUUCGAGAUCGGAUAUGAGAUGCUGUCUUAUUCAAAAGCGUAUUUCUGUACUUCAUAAGACGUAUAUUAUUAGUUUGUGGUCUGAUACCAUUCCAUGUAAUUUUUGUAGUUAGAAGUAAUUGAAAACUGUACAACUUGUCAACGUGAAAAAUGGAACUUGAGAAGAAAGUCAUCAAUUGUAUGAAGAAUCAACAAUAGGAUCCAAAUUCAGUUGUUACAAUGAAUGUUCAUCAAAAAUUCAUCUUGUGAAAUCAGAUCGCUGACAAAAUCAAGAUCAUAAGAGUAAACAUAUACUCUGAAUAAUAUUAGCAAAAUCUUUUUAAAUUAUAAUUUAAAAGACGUGAAUAAAAUAUGGGUUUGUUGGUAUUCAGUAAACAUGCAAUGAAACUAUUAAUUGUUAUAUUAAAAAAUUAUGGGUAUAAGAGAAGUAAUAUAAUCAAACAUACAGUCAAACAGCAAAAUUUUAUUAAUUUAAAUAGAAUUUUCUGAAAAAUUAUCUGCAGUGAAAGCAGUAUAUAAAAAACCCCCUUAAUGUUGGUUAAGUAAAUUUGAAAUGAGAUACUGUUGAUAAGAUUGCAUAAAAAUAAUUUCUGAAAUUCUCUAAAAUUAAGUAAAAAAAUCCCACAACAAAUUUUUUAAUAUUUAAAAAUUGUUUUAAUUUUGAAGUAGUAUAAAAAUUAUUUUUUACAAUAAUAUUAUCGAAAUAUGUUGCAAAAACGCAAGAAAAUUUUACUUGCUCUUACUAGGCUACCAAUAAAGUUCUUGCCGUUUUUAAUGACCAAAACGAAGAUAAUUUACAGAAAGUGUAGCCUAUUCUUAAUACUUGAAGUAAUCUCCAUCGGCAUUUAGCACCUCCUUGCCAGCAUGUCACCAGCUGUGCAAUCUUCUUGCAGUAAAACUCGAGGAGGUUGGACGCAAAUAACUCCAUUGCAAAUAUAUUUCAUUGGUGCAAGAUUUUCCGCCAAGAUGAUUGCCGUCCAGACAGUGGAAGAGUUGGUAAUCUGAUGGCGCAAGUUCCAUAAGUGGCUCAAUCACCCCUGAUGUAUCAGUUUGAAGGUUCAAAGAAGUAUCUUGUGAGAAGGCCGUUUUUGGAUCAGCAGAUUGAUCUUAAUUUGUUGUCCCUUAGGUUGAAUCGGACACCCGUUUAUAUAAAAUCUUCAUUCGUUUUCUAUAGAACGCCAUUCUUUACUUUCACUGAUGCCACCUAUCUAUAAAAUCGAUAUGUAUUUAUAUAAAAUCAACCAGUUUCUUUAUAAAUUUUAAAACAAAAAAAUCUUUUUAAAUAACAAUGACUGGAACAAAUUUCUUUCUGUUUAUAGUUGGUUCGAAUAAUUACAAGAACAUGAAAAACAAAACACAGUUACCACAAAAAUUCGCAAUAAUAAAAAAAUCUUCAUUGAAACUACAGUCAUUUAAUUCGUUCACGCUCUUUACACUUUUCUGAAAUUGCAAUAUUUCUGCUGCUCAUUUAAAAUGUUCAGUGGAACUUUUUUGGUUUCUUGUGUUCAUUGCAACUGGUAUAGAAAAUAUUCAGUAAGUGGUUCAAUCAUUCUUCAGGUAUCAGUUUGACGGUCCGAAGAAGUUUUUUUGUGAGAAAUGUGUUUUUGGAUGUACAGAUUGUUCUAAUUUUGACGAAAGUUGAUGUUGUAAUUAUAGUGUUAAUCCUGUGUAACGAACACCACUUUUGUGAAAAAUCGUUUUUUUUUUCCUUCUUUAGAACUCCAUUCUUGUCUUUCACUGACGUCAUUUUUCUAUAAAUUCGAUGUGUAUUUAUAUAAAAUGAGUUGCUUUCUCAUAUGAAAAUGUGUUUCUAAUAUUUGGUUUUAAAAUAAUUUUUAAUUUACAACGAAUGGAACAAAUUCCAUUCUUUUUACGUUUGGCACAGUAUGACUAUAAACAAGAAAAAACAAAGCACAGUUGCCACAAAAAAUCUUCAUAGAAAUUGCAGUCAUUCAGUUUCGCUCACGUUCGUUAACAUCCUCGCAUACUGCAAAUUUUUAGUUUUCCAUUUCAAAUGUUUUGCGAAUGUGGAACUUGAAUUAUCUCUCGAUUCUAUUAUUGUCGUGUCUGGCUUAGGAAGGUUUGAAAGUCUGUAGGUUUUUAUGGCACAAAGGUUAAAUAUGGGAUUGCUACACGAAACGUUCGUGAUUUAAGAAUCGUACAGAAGAAACAAUUAAAAAUUGAUUAAAACCACAAAAUUAAGUCAUGUCAAUCAACUGAAUAUCUUUUCAAAAAGGAAAUAAAUUAAUGAGUUAUGUCCUAAAAUGUCUUUUAAAUGGACUGUAAUGGAGUCAAUUCACGUGACGUAAAAAAUGAAUAUUUUUCGCAAUGAAUAUUACUUAAUUGUUUUACAUUAAUAAAUAUACUUAAAAAAAUUUAAUUUUAUUUAAAAAAAUAUAUAACUGAAAUUUCAGUGUUCAGACGUUCAGCGAAUGCGGAAUCUGCUUACCGCUCAUCUCUAGUAGUUAUUGAUUUGUGUAGUUAAGAAAAUUCAGUAAGUCGCUCAACCAUCUUUGAUGUAUCAGUUGGACGGUUAGGAGAUCCGAAAAGGCUGUUUUCGGAUUUGCAGGUUCUGAAUUGGAUGGCCCUUGUUGAAAAUAUGGUAGUAGUUCUGCCACGGAAAUAAAAUCUUUCGUUUUUUUAGAAUGCCACUUUAUAUAUUCAUGGCCGCCACUUUUCUAUAAAAUGAACGUGUAUUUAUAUAAAUUCAGUUCCUUCAUAUAAAAAGUACUGAUGUAUGAGUCUUAAAAUAAAAACAUUUUAAAUUAAAAACUGGAACAAAUUUCAUUAUUUCGACAAUUGGUACGGAUAUUUGCAAGAACAUAAACUGUUGCCACAAAUUUUUCACAAUUAUAAAAUUCAAUGACUGAUUUCAAAUUACAAGCAUUGAAUUCGCUCACAUUCUUUACCACCCUCGCACGUUGCAAUUUUCUUAAAUUGCAACACUUUUUGCUGCUCAUUUCAAACGUCAAUGGAACUUUUGCUUAUCGUUUGACUAGUGGUUAUUGGUUUGUUUGGUAUAGAAAGAAUUCAGUAAGCGGUUCAAGCAUCCUUGGGGUAUCAGUUUGAUGGAUCAAAGAUGUUUCUUGUUAGAAAGCUGUUUUUAAAUGUGCAGAUUAUGUUAAUCCUGUAUAACGUGACCCCUUUUGUAUUUUAUACUUUCUUGGACGCCACUUUUCUGUAAAAUUGAUUUCUGUUUAUGUAAAAUCAGUUCUUUAUGUGAAAAAUAAUGAUUACCGACGUGGGUUUUUAAAUAAAAAUCUUUUCAAGUAAUAACGGUUG